UACGUAGGUGGCAAGCGUUGUCCGGAUUUACUGGGUGUAAAGGGCGUGCAGCCGGGCUGACAAGUCAGAUGUGAAAUCCCGCGGCUCAACCGCGGAACUUCAUUUGAAACUGUCAGUCUUGAGUACCGGUGAGGUCAUCGGAAUUCCUUGUGUAGCGGUGAAAUGCGUAGAUAUAAGGAAGAACACCAGUGGCGAAGGCGGAUGACUGGACGGCAACUGACGGUGAGGCGCGAAAGCGUGGGGAGCAAACAGG
rnacentral:rRNA from 1 species